CUACUAGAAUCAUUAUCACAGGAGUAGUUCGUUCUUACUGCAGUUACUCUAUGGGCAAUUUGGUCUUCUAGGAGGAAAGCUAUCCACGAAGCUAUAUUCCAAUCACCACAUGCAAUACAAUCCUUCAUAACUUGCUUCAUUGCAGACUUAAAUGUCAUUCGGACGGAGAAGCCUGCGCAGCAGAGGGUGGCCAGAACCAUCACUCGCCCAAUUGCUCCUCCGGAGAAUUUCGCUAAGAUCCAUCUGGACGCUGGGGUACGCGCCCAAAGAGGAGGAUCAGCAGCAGCAAUAUGCAAGGAUAGACAUGGCAAUUUCCUGGGAAGCUCAGCGCUAGUUGUGUACGGUGUCUGUGAUCCAGCGACGUUGGAGGCUAUAGCUUGCCGUGAAGCUAUCUCUAUGGCUGAAGAUUUCCAACUCCAAAACUUGAUCAUAUCCUCGGAUUGCAAGCAGGUAGUGGAAGACAUCUCGAAGGGCAGCAAUGGUCCUUAUGGAGCAAUUAUCAAUGAAAUUAAGUCCAGAUCGGUUCCCUUUUCUUGUAACUUUAUUUUUGAAAGUCGUGCUGUAAAUUUUGAAGCUCAUAGGUUAGGAAAAUUUGCUACAAAUUUAGCUCCAAGGCGUUGUGUUUAGCUUGGCCAGCCACAUGAUCCAGUUUGUAUCCCACCUUCUGUGGAAUUUGAUUAA
rnacentral:rRNA from 1 species